AGGUGAAUAUAUAGAAAAUCAGGCAAAGUAUGUCCGCAAAAUAAGAAGCGGAACAAUUAUUCAAAGCGCAACAGGAGAAGGCUUGCAAGCAGAAGGUGGAAAUGUUGAAAAUCAAACCACAUACCUCCGCCAAACCAGAAGUGGGAAAUUUCUUAGCACACUAGAUGAAACCAUUCAACAAGAAGCUGUUGGAGGGACGCAAAAUCUGUUCUGGUACGGCUGCCUUACAAGGGGUCGAACGUGCCUAUAUAAAUACCGGUGCCGUUCUGAGCUAAGACCUCCUGCUGAAAGUUCCGGUGGAUUUCUAGAAGAUGAAUCUUGCAGACGACAAAUCUCACUUCCGUUUCGUCCAUCGAAGAAACUUUCAUGUGAACAACCCCGGGUUCGUCUGCAGUGAAGCGAAAAUUUUUAUAUUAGGCAAUGUUCGGAACUUUUUUGAACCUGUCUGCAAGACAAAAUUUCCAUUGUCUCCAUGUCCAGUUUCCAUACAUAACUGCUUCGUUGCUAUGGGAUGACCUAUUCACUACGUCACCCGCAUGAUCUACGAUGUCGACAUCUGACCUCCGGUACAGCUGCUUUAUCCGUCCAAAUCCGGCAUCAAUUAGGCAUCUGUUCAAAUGAAGUAA
rnacentral:lncRNA from 1 species